rnacentral:rRNA from 1 species
GGAUGAACGCUGGCGGCGUGCCUAAUACAUGCAAGUCGAACGAGUUCUGAUUAUUGAAAGGUGCUUGCAUCUUGAUUUAAUUUUGAACGAGUGGCGGACGGGUGAGUAACACGUGAGUAACCUGCCCUUAAGUGGGGGAUAACAUUUGGAAACAGAUGCUAAUACCGCAUAAAUCCAAAAACCGCAUGGUUCUUGGCUGAAAGAUGGCGUAAGCUAUCGCUUUUGGAUGGACCCGCGGCGUAUUAGCUAGUUGGUGAGGUAACGGCUCACCAAGGCAAUGAUACGUAGCCGAACUGAGAGGUUGAUCGGCCACAUUGGGACUGAGACACGGCCCAAACUCCUACGGGAGGCAGCAGUAGGGAAUCUUCCACAAUGGACGCAAGUCUGAUGGAGCAACGCCGCGUGAGUGAAGAAGGCUUUCGGGUCGUAAAACUCUGUUGUUGGAGAAGAAUGGUCGGCAGAGUAACUGUUGUCGGCGUGACGGUAUCCAACCAGAAAGCCACGGCUAACUACGUGCCAGCAGCCGCGGUAAUACGUAGGUGGCAAGCGUUAUCCGGAUUUAUUGGGCGUAAAGCGAGCGCAGGCGGUUUUUUAAGUCUGAUGUGAAAGCCCUCGGCUUAACCGAGGAAGUGCAUCGGAAACUGGGAAACUUGAGUGCAGAAGAGGACAGUGGAACUCCAUGUGUAGCGGUGAAAUGCGUAGAUAUAUGGAAGAACACCAGUGGCGAAGGCGGCUGUCUGGUCUGUAACUGACGCUGAGGCUCGAAAGCAUGGGUAGCGAACAGGAUUAGAUACCCUGGUAGUCCAUGCCGUAAACGAUGAAUGCUAGGUGUUGGAGGGUUUCCGCCCUUCAGUGCCGCAGCUAACGCAUUAAGCAUUCCGCCUGGGGAGUACGACCGCAAGGUUGAAACUCAAAGGAAUUGACGGGGGCCCGCACAAGCGGUGGAGCAUGUGGUUUAAUUCGAAGCAACGCGAAGAACCUUACCAGGUCUUGACAUCUUUUGAUCACCUGAGAGAUCAGGUUUCCCCUCCGGGGGCAAAAUGACAGGUGGUGCAUGGUUGUCGUCAGCUCGUGUCGCGAGAUGUUGGGUUAAGUCCCGCAACGAGCGCAACCCUUAUGACUAGUUGCCAGCAUUUAGUUGGGCACUCUAGUAAGACUGCCGGUGACAAACCGGAGGAAGGUGGGGAUGACGUCAAAUCAUCAUGCCCCUUAUGACCUGGGCUACACACGUGCUACAAUGGAUGGUACAACGAGUUGCGAGACCGCGAGGUCAAGCUAAUCUCUUAAAGCCAUUCUCAGUUCGGACUGUAGGCUGCAACUCGCCUACACGAAGUCGGAAUCGCUAGUAAUCGCGGAUCAGCACGCCGCGGUGAAUACGUUCCCGGGCCUUGUACACACCGCCCGUCACACCAUGAGAGUUUGUAACACCCGAAGCCGGUGGCGUAACCCUUUUAGGGAGCGAGCCGUCUAAGGUGGGACAAAUGAUUAGGGUGAA